rnacentral:rRNA from 1 species
UACGAAGGGGGCUAGCGUUGUUCGGAAUUACUGGGCGUAAAGCGCACGUAGGCGGACCGGUAAGUUAGAGGUGAAAUCCCAGAGCUUAACUCUGGAACUGCCUUUGAUACUGCCGGUCUUGAGGGUGAGAGAGGUAAGUGGAACUGCGAGUGUAGAGGUGAAAUUCGUAGAUAUUCGCAAGAACACCAGUGGCGAAGGCGGCUUACUGGCUCAUUUCUGACGCUGAGGUGCGAAAGCGUGGGGAGCAAACAGG